UUCCUCCCAAGCUACAUGCUCAGUAGAAAAGGAAAUCCUCCACACAAGAGGAGGACCAUUCUCCAGUCAAGGGUGUACAGGUAGCAGCAUUCCCCUGCUAGAACCUCCAAACAAACUCUCAGCAUCCAUUUGUAGGAGAACAUAAGGUAGUCAAGCUCCCAAGACUCCAGACACAAGCAAAUGAGAUGCUGCAUGUGGCAGUCUGCCUUUCCUU
rnacentral:sRNA from 1 species